rnacentral:lncRNA from 1 species
AAGAUCAUAUCUCAUCAAUGGCACAUGAUAAAAUUGCAAACUCAACACCAAAAUGUCCAGCAUGAAGUCUAGUUUAAGCAUGUAAAAUUUCAAAAAGCAUACAUGUUAACAUUCCCUAGGCCAAACAAUUUUACAACCAAGCACAACUUCUGGAAAAAUAAUAAAAAAAAACUAGAAACAAUAAGGAGAACAACGCAAAAAUUCUCAUAUUAUUUGGAUUAUUAAUCAAUUAUUUAUGAAUUUAUGAAGUGAA